rnacentral:rRNA from 1 species
GACGAACGCUGGCGGCGUGCUUAACACAUGCAAGUCGAACGGAAAGGCCCUGCUUUUGUGGGGUGCUCGAGUGGCGCACGGGGGAGUAACACGCGAGUAACCUGUGCUUGACUUUGGGGUACCUCCAGGAAACUGGGGCGAAUACCGGAUAGGAGCUCCUGAUGCAUGGGGGGGGAUGGAAAGUUGCGGCGGUUGGGGAUGGAAUCGCGGCUUAUCAGCUUGUUGGUGGGGUAGUGGCUUACCAAGGCUUUGACGGGUAGCCGGCCUGGGAGGGUGACCGGCCACAUUGGGCCUGAGGUGCGGCCCAGACUCCUACGGGAGGCAGCAGUGGGGAAUAUUGCACAAUGGGCGGAAGCCUGGUGCAGCGACGCCGCGUGCGGGAUGACGGCCUUCGGGUUGGAACCCGGGUUCGCCUGUGACGAAGCGUGAGUGACGGUAAUGGGUAAAGAAGCACCGGCUAACUACGUG